rnacentral:rRNA from 1 species
AGUGAACGCUGGCGGUAGGCCUAACACAUGCAAGUCGAACGGCAGCACAGUAAGAGCUUGCUCUUACGGGUGGCGAGUGGCGGACGGGUGAGGAAUACAUCGGAAUCUACUUUUUCGUGGGGGAUAACGUAGGGAAACUUACGCUAAUACCGCAUACGACCUACGGGUGAAAGCAGGGGAUCUUCGGACCUUGCGCGAUUGAAUGAGCCGAUGUCGGAAUAGCUAGUUGGCGGGGUAAAGGCCCACCAAGGCGACGAUCCGUAGCUGGUCUGAGAGGAUGAUCAGCCACACUGGAACUGAGACACGGUCCAGACUCCUACGGGAGGCAGCAGUGGGGAAUAUUGGACAAAGGGCGCAAGCCUGAUCCAGCCAUACCGCGUGGGUGAAGAAGGCCUUCGGGUUGUAAAGCCCUUUUGUUGGGAAAGAAAAGCAGCAGGUUAAUACCCCGCUGUUCUGACGGUACCCAAAGAAUAAGCACCGGCUAACUUCGUG